AGUUCGGAAUGCUUAUCCCCAGUAUCAUGUAGCAUAUCACGGUACCAAAUCUGAAAACCUCAAAGAUAUACUACUUACCCAGCGGCUUCUCAUACCAGGUGACACCGCUCCCUCCGGUCAAAUUGUAAAUGAGAGAGAAUUCCAUAUUCCAGCUUGUAACCAAUUUGGUUUCAACACGAAGCAAAUAUUUGUGUCCCCUAGUAUAUUAUACGCUGGGAAUCCCACAUAUGCCACACCUAAAAAAUGGUACGAUUGUAUAAGUCACCGGGUAUACAACGCGAGUGUAGCGUUACAAGUAUGGAUUCGCCCAUUCAGCUAUGCAGUAGGAAGACAUACUCUGGCAGGAGCGUAUGGAAUCGACCCAUUCUUCAGUGAUGACACAUUAGAGUGGUCGACGACGAAUAGAUGGGAUGUUAUACCAUACGGAUUACUGGUGAAAAUUAGCUAAAUGGUUUAGGUUAGGUUAGUCUACAUAUAAAAAAUGCUAAAUACUGAGUUGAGAUGUGAACGACAGUAGUAACGUCAAAAUAAUGGGGAUACGUGGAAUGUUGAUUAAAAAAAUCAAAACUAGCAAUUACUAACCACUUAUAAUGUGUAGGCAAAUACAGGAUAUGCAACCAUAUAUAUUAUUUGUUAGACGUACUUAAAAUGACCAUUCAUUAUUUUUAUUUCUAGCCUGAGACCGCUGAACAAAGGUUAGAGUAGGUCGACAGUGACAUUACUUUUACUGACUUUGAUAAGCAGCUCAUCUCUCCUCCCUCUGUUUUCCUUUU